rnacentral:rRNA from 1 species
AAUCAACGCUGGCGGCGUGCCUCAGACAUGCAAGUCGAACGCGAAAGUUCCCUUCGGGGAGCAAGUAGAGUGGCGCACGGGUGAGUAACACGUAGGUAAUUUGCCUUCGGGUGGGGAAUAACAGUCGGAAACGACUGCUAAUACCGCAUAAUGCAGCGGCUCGACAUCGAGACAGUUGUUAAAGCGGGGGAUCCUUCGGGACCUCGCGCCUGAAGAGAAGCCUGCGGCAGAUUAGCUAGUUGGUGAGGUAAUGGCCCACCAAGGCUACGAUCUGUAACCGGCCUGAGAGGGCGGUCGGGUCACACUGACACUGACAUACGGGUCAGACUCCUACGGGAGGCAGCAGUCGGGAAUUUUGGGCAAUGGGCGCAAGCCUGACCCAGCAACGCCGCGUGAAGGAUGAAAUUUUUCGGAAUGUAAACUUCGCAAGAACGGGAAGAAUAAGUUCAGGCAAAUAGCCUGAAUGAUGACGGUACCGUUUGUAAGCUCCGGCUAACUUCGUGCCAGC